UUAAAAGAGUAUUAUUAUUAUUAUUAUUAUUUAAAAGGCACAUUUGGUAUAGUAUACAUUAUUUGAUGACAUUAUCCACACAAUCAUUAAAAUUUGAGUAUUGAGAGAUGAUGUCCAUCAACCAUCCAUCUCCACCAUUACCACUCCGUCUCCGUCUGCACCUCACCACCACGGCGGCGCUGCCUUGUAUUAUCCUCGCAGCCACCGCUCCACCGGCUGGGAAGCUCUCGGUUCUUCUUCAGACAGGUGGUGUAUGCCUUGUUGCGUAUUGGGUUGCAAAUUUUGUGGUGCCGGGAAUCGUUCUCAAGGAUUUUCAAUCCAAAGAGAAAGAGGAGAAUUCAAGUGAAGACGAAAGUUGAAUCAAACUUACUCUAAUUAAAUCCCAAAAAAAUAGAAAGAAACAUAAACAUAUCAAGAAACCAAGGUCUAAAAGAGAAUUUUCAAUCUUGAUCACAUGAAUAAUCAAGAAACAGCACCACAUUCUUUCAAAAUCAAUUCAUAUACACUAGAAAUCUAGAUCAAAGGGCAUUUCAUUCAUCAAUAAUUGUAUGUAUAUAUAAACAUGGAUGAUAGUUUUAUAACAAAUCAAAGCAUAUCAAACCCUCAUAUAUCAUCUCAAUCCUUUCUUGUCGAAACCCUAUAAAACGGAAUCCGAACACUUAGCUUUUGAUCAUGCUUCUUCGAAGCCGAAGCCUGUUGUUGUGAUGCCCUUGUUUUUAGAUAACACACAUCUCCUUCACACACAUAACCACUCCUCUCCGGUUUCUCGGAAAAGCACCUCUUCAAGAUGUCGAACGAAGGCAUCGCCAUGUUCUUGAAUCCUGAUCUCUCAAAUAUUUCCAACUACAACUCUUUCUUUGUGUUGGAAACUCCUCUUUCUUUAUAUCGAUGCCUUCAAAGCUUUCUCUACUUAUGUUUGGUGGGAAAGGCUAUAUAUUUUGUGGUGCAACAACCAACUACCUAUCUCUACAUCAUUGAAUUAUUCCAACGUUAUGGUCAAGAUAUGACUGCAGCGUGCAUGUAAUUAGCCACAUUUUUUAUUUGUAUUUUUAGGAAUUUAAUAUUGUCAAAGAGGGAACACAAUUACACAAUAUUGAUUUGUGAGUUAGAUUUGUACACGUUUCCCAAUGGAGAAUCAAUGGAUGUGUUGCAACACGGCUUUCUUCUUUUCUUUAAUGAGAAGUCAAAUUACAAAA